AGUCAAUAGAUACCCUGGUAGUCCACGCCGUAAACGAUGUCGACUUGGAGGUUGUGCCCUUGAGGCGUGGCUUCCGGAGCUAAACGCGUUAAGUCGACCGCCUGGGGAGUACGGCCGCAAGGUUAAAACUCAAAUGAAUUGACGGGGGCCCGCACAAGCGGUGGAGCAUGUGGUUUAAUUCGAUGCAACGCGAAGAACCUUACCUACUCUUGACAUCCAGAGAACUUAGCAGAGAUGCUUUGGUGCCUUCGGGAACUCUGAGACAGGUGCUGCAUGGCUGUCGUCAGCUCGUGUUGUGAAAUGUUGGGUUAAGUCCCGCAACGAGCGCAACCCUUAUCCUUUGUUGCCAGCGGUUAAGCCGGGAACUCAAAGGAGACUGCCAGUGAUAAACUGGAGGAAGGUGGGGAUGACGUCAAGUCAUCAUGGCCCUUACGAGUAGGGCUACACACGCGCUACAAUGGCGCAUACAAAGAGAAGCGACCUCGCGAGAGCAAGCGGACCUCAUAAAGUGCGUCGUAGUCCGGAUUGGA
rnacentral:rRNA from 1 species